UAUUGAUGCAACUCCUGGCCCUACACAACCACCCCAACCAUCCCAUCCCACCCCGUGCAUCCCUGAGGGCAUUGUCCAAAUAUUCCUGGAGGCACAGCUGAAAGUCUUGGUGAAAGAGGUAUCUUGCUGCGGGGACACUGUGGAUCUUGAAAACAGGACAGGCCUGGAGAAGGCCACUUCUACAAAUGAAGAGAAAGCCACUUCUACUCAGC